ACUGAAGGCAGCAGUAGGGAAUAUUGCACAAUGGGGGGAACCCUGAUGCAGCAACGCCACGUGUGGGAAGAAGCAUUUCGGUGUGUAAACCACUGUCGUGAGGGAAUAAUGCUUGAUUUCGGUCAAGUUGAAUGUACCUCGAAAGGAAGCACCGGCAAACUUCGUGCCAGCAGCCGCGGUAAUACGCGGGGUGCAAGCGUUGUUCGGAAUCACUGGGCGUAAAGGGAGCGUAGGCGGAGACGCAAGCAGUCUGUACAAUCCCGGGGCCCAACCCCGGACCUGCAGACUGGACUGUGUCUCUUGGAUAGUUCAGGGGCAGGCGGAAUUCCUGGUGUAGCGGUGGAAUGCGUAGAGAUCAGGAAGAACACCGAUGGCGAAGGCAGUCUGCUGGGGACUCAUCGACGCUGAGGCUCGAAAGUGCGGGUAGCAAACAGGAUUAGAUACCCUGGUA
rnacentral:rRNA from 1 species